rnacentral:rRNA from 3 species
GAGGUUAAGCGACUAAGCGUACACGGUGGAUGCCCUGGCAGUCAGAGGCGAUGAAGGACGUGCUAAUCUGCGAUAAGCGCCGGUAAGGUGAUAUGAACCGUUAUAACCGGCGAUUUCCGAAUGGGGAAACCCAGUGUGACUCGUCACACUAUCAUUAACUGAAUCCAUAGGUUAAUGAGGCGAACCGGGGGAACUGAAACAUCUAAGUACCCCGAGGAAAAGAAAUCAACCGAGAUUCCCCCAGUAGCGGCGAGCGAACGGGGAGGAGCCCAGAGCCUGAAUCAGCAUGUGUGUUAGUGGAAGCGUCUGGAAAGGCGCGCGAUACAGGGUGACAGCCCCGUACACAAAAGCGCAUGUGCUGUGAGCUCGAUGAGUAGGGCGGGACACGUGGUAUCCUGUCUGAAUAUGGGGGGACCAUCCUCCAAGGCUAAAUACUCCUGACUGACCGAUAGUGAACCAGUACCGUGAGGGAAAGGCGAAAAGAACCCCGGCGAGGGGAGUGAAAAAGAACCUGAAACCGUGUACGUACAAGCAGUGGGAGCACCCUUUGGGGUGUGACUGCGUACCUUUUGUAUAAUGGGUCAGCGACUUAUAUUCUGUAGCAAGGUUAACCGAAUAGGGGAGCCGGAGGGAAACCGAGUCUUAACCGGGCGUUAAGUUGCAGGGUAUAGACCCGAAACCCGGUGAUCUAGCCAUGGGCAGGUUGAAGGUUGGGUAACACUAACUGGAGGACCGAACCGACUAAUGUUGAAAAAUUAGCGGAUGACCUGUGGCUGGGGGUGAAAGGCCAAUCAAACCGGGAGAUAGCUGGUUCUCCCCGAAAGCUAUUUAGGUAGCGCCUCGUGAAUUCAUCUCCGGGGGUAGAGCACUGUUUCGGCUAGGGGGCCAUCCCGGCUUACCAACCCGAUGCAAACUGCGAAUACCGGAGAAUGUUAUCACGGGAGACACACGGCGGGUGCUAACGUCCGUCGUGAAGAGGGAAACAACCCAGACCGCCAGCUAAGGUCCCAAAGUCAUGGUUAAGUGGGAAACGAUGUGGGAAGGCCCAGACAGCCAGGAUGUUGGCUUAGAAGCAGCCAUCAUUUAAAGAAAGCGUAAUAGCUCACUGGUCGAGUCGGCCUGCGCGGAAGAUGUAACGGGGCUAAACCAUGCACCGAAGCUGCGGCAGCGACGCUGAUGCGUUGUUGGGUAGGGGAGCGUUCUGUAAGCCUGUGAAGGUGGCCUGUGAGGGUUGCUGGAGGUAUCAGAAGUGCGAAUGCUGACAUAAGUAACGAUAAAGCGGGUGAAAAGCCCGCUCGCCGGAAGACCAAGGGUUCCUGUCCAACGUUAAUCGGGGCAGGGUGAGUCGACCCCUAAGGCGAGGCCGAAAGGCGUAGUCGAUGGGAAACGGGUUAAUAUUCCCGUACUUGGUGUUACUGCGAAGGGGGGACGGAGAAGGCUAUGUUGGCCGGGCGACGGUUGUCCCGGUUUAAGCGUGUAGGUGUGUGUUCCAGGUAAAUCCGGUUCACUUUAACACUGAGGCGUGAUGACGAGGCACUACGGUGCUGAAGCAACAAAUGCCCUGCUUCCAGGAAAAGCCUCUAAGCAUCAGGUAACAUCAAAUCGUACCCCAAACCGACACAGGUGGUCAGGUAGAGAAUACCAAGGCGCUUGAGAGAACUCGGGUGAAGGAACUAGGCAAAAUGGUGCCGUAACU